rnacentral:rRNA from 1 species
GACGAACGCUGGCGGCGUGCCUAACACAUGCAAGUCGAGCGAGUGAAUCUCCUUCUGGAGUGAAGCUAGCGGCGGACGGGUGAGUAACACGUGGGCAACCUGCCUCAUAGAGGGGAAUAGCCUUUCGAAAGGAUGAUUAAUACCGCAUAAGAUUGUAGCUUCGCAUGAAGUAGCAAUUAAAGGAGCAAUCCGCUAUGAGAUGGGCCCGCGGCGCAUUAGCUAGUUGGUGAGGUAACGGCUCACCAAGGCGACGAUGCGUAGCCGACCUGAGAGGGUGAUCGGCCACAUUGGGACUGAGAUACGGCCCAGACUCCUACGGGAGGCAGCAGUGGGGAAUAUUGCACAAUGGGGGAAACCCUGAUGCAGCAACGCCGCGUGAGUGAUGACGGCCUUCGGGUUGUAAAGCUCUGUCUUCAGGGACGAUAAUGACGGUACCUGAGGAGGAAGCCACGGCUAACUACGUGCCAGCAGCCGCAGUAA